AUCAGCUCUCAAAUGUGGGGCGGGGCUGGUGGGGGAAGAGGCCGGCCUUAAAGCUAGUUUUGUAGGAUAUGUGUGGACAGGCUGUGUGUUUUUGGCUGCAAGCACCCAUUUUAUAGUGUGUUCUGUGGAUUUGAGGCAUGUCGGAAGCUGGGCCUAUAUCUGGAUGAAUAGUGUACAUCUCUGAGUGCCUGUGUCCCUGGAUGGCCACUUUAUUUUUUCAUCAUGUUUGCUGCAUGCUUGUGGCAGGGCUUGCCUGAGCUUUGGCUCCGGGCAGGAGAGAACCUGGAGGAACCACUGGAGGACUUACAGGCCAAUGGCUCCCCAACAAGGGAGCCAUUCAGAUAGGGAUCCAUAGACCCUCCAGGGAGAGCAGACGGCCUGAGGAUUUGGAGCUGAGACAAGAUGUGUGGCCCGGUGACCUUUCACUGGAAGUCCAUUAGAGGUCAGGGCUCCCUUCCUGAAGAGGAUCAGAAAGACUGCAAUGUUCUGCUAGAAACGCUGCUGGCCUCCGUCCACCUUUGCCCAGCCAUAGGGGUGCAGCCACUGUCCAGUGGGGACAGGUCAUAGGAUCAGCGCCACUCAUCUAUCCAGAAAUCAGGACGAAGACACGCCUCCUCCACCCCGCUAGCCCAACUUGCUUAAGCUCGAGGGUUGGUUUCUGCCCAGCCAGCGAGGUGCCCCGGAUCCCCACCCUCGGGCUACAAGAUCCGCCCGCCCCCGCCGUCGGGCCGCGGAGCGCCGAGCGCUCGGCACCCAAUCGGAGCCCAGCCCCGCCCGCAGCUCGCCCCGAGCCCAAUCCCUCUGGGCUUGGCUCCGCGCCUGCCCCUCUUCCUCCGCGCGGCUCCGCCUUCAGCCCGGGCCCGGGUCUGGGCGGGGCCUAACUGCCAUUCGC